GUGCUCACUUUGGCAGCACAUAUGCUAAAAUCGGAAUGAUACAGAGAAGAUUAGCCUGGCCCCUGCACAAAGAUGACAUGGAAAUUCUUGAAGUAUCCCAUAUUUGG
rnacentral:snRNA from 1 species